rnacentral:rRNA from 1 species
UUUUGCCUACGGGAGGCAGCAGUCGGGAAUAUUGCGCAAUGGAGGAAACUCUGACGCAGUGACGCCGCGUAUAGGAAGAAGGUUUUCGGAUUGUAAACUAUUGUCGUGAGGGAAGAAGAUGACAGUACCUCAGGAGGAAGCUCCGGCUAACUAUGUGUCAGCAGCCGCGGUAAUACAUAGGGAGCAAGCGUUAUCCGGAAUUAUUGGGUGUAAAGGGUGCGUAGACGGGAAAUUAAGUUAGUUGUGAAAUCCCUUGGCUUAACUGAGGAACUGCAACUAAAACUGAUUUUCUUGAGUACUGGAGA